UACAGAGGGUGCAAGCGUUGCUCGGAUUUACUGGGCGUAAAGCGUACGCAGACGGCCACGCAGGUCGGGUGUGAAAGCCCCGGGCUCAACCCGGGAAUUGCAUUCGAAACCAUGUGGCUCGAGUGUGGGAGAGGGUAGUGGAAUUCCCGGUGUAGAGGUGAAAUUCGUAGAUAUCAGGAGGAACAUCGGCGGCGAAGGCGGCUACCUGGUCCACAACUGACGUUCAGGUACGAAAGCGUGGGGAGCAAACAGG
rnacentral:rRNA from 1 species